rnacentral:rRNA from 1 species
CCUACGGGGUGCAGCAGUGAGGAAUAUUGGUCAAUGGCCGGAAGGCUGAACCAGCCAUGCCGCGUGAAGGUCAGUGCCCUAUGGGCGUUAAACUUCUUUUGUGCGGGAGCAAUAAUGGUCACGUGUGGCCAGACGAGAGUACCGUACGAAUAAGCAUCGGCUAACUCCGUGCCAGCAGCCGCGGUAAUACGGGGGAUGCAAGCGUUAUCCGGAUUUAUUGGGUUUAAAGGGUGCGUAGGCUGUGAGGUAAGUCAGCGGUGAAAUGCCCCCGCUCAACGGGGUGAAGUGCCAUUGAUACUGCCAUGCUGGAAUGCGGAUGCCGUGGGAGGAAUGUGUGGUGUAGCGGUGAAAUGCAUAGAUAUCACACAGAACACCGAUUGCGAAGGCAUCUCACGAAUCCGCGAUUGACGCUGAUGCACGAAAGCGUGGGUAUCAAACAGGAUUAGAUACCCGUGUAGUC